rnacentral:rRNA from 1 species
GCAGCCGCCGCGGGAAUACGAAGGGGGCUAGCGUUGUUCGGAUUUACUGGGCGUAAAGGGUGCGUAGGCGGAUUGUUAAGUCAGGGGUGAAAUGCCAAGGCUCAACCUCGGAACUGCCUUUGAUACUGGCGAUCUUGAGUCCGGGAGAGGUGAGUGGAACUGCGAGUGUAGAGGUGAAAUUCGUAGAUAUUGGGAAGAACACCGGUGGCGAAGGCGGCGACCUGGUCCUUGACUGACGCUGAGGCGCGAAAGCGUGGGGAGCAAACAGGAUUAGAUACCCCAGUAGUCCCUGUCUCUUAUAC